AUGUCGUCAACAUUCUUGGUCGCCUUGUGCGAGGCCAUAGAUAUCCGCCACCUCGAGGAGAAUGUCAAGAACGUCGUGAAGAGUUGUGUAAAGACGGUGGCUAGGAAGACAUUGAGCACCAACAACAACGGCCAUCUCCAUAAUGCGCGCUUUUGCGAGAAGGACCUGCUGCUCACCAUCGAUCGUGAGGCAGUGUUCACGUACGCAGACGACCCUUGCAGUGCCAAAUACCCGCUGAUGCAAAAGAUGCGUGCAGUUCUCGUGGAGCAUGCCCUGGCCAAUGGCGAUGCCGAGCGCGACACUGAGACGUCGGUAUUUGCCAAGCUUGCCACAUUCGAGCAGGAGCUUUGA
rnacentral:rRNA from 1 species